AGGAAUUUAUUUAUUGAGAAGAAUUAGAUAAAAGUUGGCAUUAAGGAGCCUGGAGGAAACAUCUCCGAAGCAGAUGGAAGGAGAAGUGUUUCGUAUGCAGUCCCUCUAACCAAGGACUGUGAGAAUCAUCACAGUGGGACUGCAGUGUACGCCCUUGGCCCACUUCGCAGGCUUUGUUUAUUUGGUAAGUCUUUACUGAGAACAGAACAAGAGCUAGACAUUGUUCCAGGUACUAAGAGCACAGCAAUGGGACAGGAGGGGGGAAGCAGGUCAGUCUCUGCUCUAAAGAAACUUGGGUUUCACUGGUGGAGAACCAGAUAACAAGCAAAUAAAUUCGUUUUUCAGAUGAUGAUAAGUGCUAUGAAGACAUUAAGCCAGAACAGUGGGAUAAAGCCUGACUUUGUUAUUCAAUAAUAAAAUCUCCUCCAAGCUGCCAACCUGGCUCCAGUGAACCCCCAC
rnacentral:lncRNA from 1 species